rnacentral:rRNA from 1 species
AUGAACUGCUUGGUGUGGAAUUGUCGCGGGGUCGGCGGAGCUCGGACAGUCCGCGAACUGGUGUCCCUUAAUCAAGUGCAUCACCCCCGAUUCAUCUUUUUAUCUGAGACUAGACAAGCCAAAGAGAAAGUUCAGCGUUUAUGCAAUCGUUUGGGCCUGAGAGGAUUUGCUGGAGUUAGUAGUGUAGGAUUUAGCGGAGGGCUGGCUCUCUUCUGGGACGAACACCUACAUGUUGAAAUA